GCUCCAAUAGCUCAGUGAAUAGAGCAACGCCCUUCUAAGGCGUGGGUCGUAGGUUUGAAUCCUACUUGGAGUA
rnacentral:tRNA from 1 species